GACGAACGCUGGCGGCGUGCCUAAUACAUGCAAGUAGAACGCUGAAGGAGGAGCUUGCUCUUCUGGAUGAGUUGCGAACGGGUGAGUAACGCGUAGGUAACCUGCCUGGUAGCGGGGGAUAACUAUUGGAAACGAUAGCUAAUACCGCAUAAGAGUAGAUGUUGCAUGACAUUUACUUAAAAGGUGCAAUUGCAUCACUACCAGAUGGACCUGCGUUGUAUUAGCUAGUUGGUGGGGUAACGGCUCACCAAGGCGACGAUACAUAGCCGACCUGAGAGGGUGAUCGGCCACACUGGGACUGAGACACGGCCCAGACUCCUACGGGAGGCAGCAGUAGGGAAUCUUCGGCAAUGGACGGAAGUCUGACCGAGCAACGCCGCGUGAGUGAAGAAGGUUUUCGGAUCGUAAAGCUCUGUUGUAAGAGAAGAACGAGUGUGAGAGUGGAAAGUUCACACUGUGACGGUAUCUUACCAGAAAGGGACGGCUAACUACGUG
rnacentral:rRNA from 1 species